GGUGUCUAAUACUUUCACGAAAAAAAAAAGAUGAGAAAAACACUUAUGGGGUUUAAAAUUCAUUCUUUACAUCCACAAAAAAAGAAAAAAUACUAAAAUAUCUUAAGGUUUCUAAUACUCACGAAAAAAAAAAGAUCAGAAAAACACUUACGGGGGUUUAAAAUUCAUUCUUUACAUCCACAAAAAAAGAAAAAAUACUAAAAUAUCUUAAGGUUUCUAAUACUCUCACGA